GCAGGGCUGAGAGCGGCUCGGAGCGAGCGAGCGCGGGCGCCGGGGCUGGCGGGGCCGGGGCCGGGGCCGGGGCCGAGC
rnacentral:miRNA from 1 species